AUGACGGAGCUUCUCCAAAACCCAUCAUCAAUGUCUAGAGCUUGCAACGAGCUUGCAGAAGUUAUUGGACCCAAAAUAAACAUUGACAAAGAUGAUAUUGUUUGGUUGCCCUAUCUCCAAGCUGUUAUAAAAGAGACUUUUAGACUUCAUCCUCCUGGCCCGAUCUUGUUGCCACGCAAACCCGAGAGAACAUUGCAAAUAGCAAGUUACACAAUACCUAAAGAUUCACGUGUGUUCAUAAACAUAUGGGCGUUAGGUCGAGAUAAUGAUGUAUGGACUGAACCUGAGAAGUUCAUGCCAGAGAGGUUCCUGGGUUCACCAGUUGAUUUUAAGGGUGCCAAUUUUGAGCUCCUUCCAUUUGGUGCCGGACGUCGGAUCUGCCUUGGAAUGCCAUUGGCUAUUAGGAUGGUGCAUUUGGUCUUCACUUCGUUGUUAAAUCAAUUUAAGUGGAGCCUCCAUGUUGAGCUUGAAAGGGAUGGGAUUGAUAUGGAAGAAAAGUUUGGCCUAUCACUUACGAAGGUCGUGCCCCUUCGUAUUGUACCAACACCGAUUUGA
rnacentral:rRNA from 1 species